AAUCUUUUGAUAUCUAAAAAUAAAGUGUAAUUUGAUACUUUAAGCUAUCCUAGCAAAUGUAACUAGUUACUCUGAAUUGAAAAGCAAAAUGUGUGGAUAAAGUAAUGUGUUUUCUAGACUGGAAUUUAGAAAUCUUUAAUCUGGGAUUAAUUGAUUAAUAAUGAAAUUAAUAAAAUUCAGGUGAAUUAGGCAAUUUGAGAUCUUGAUUUAAUUUUGGAAUGGUUAAUUUUCAUUGAGAAAGUAAGAACAAUGUUUUGCAAGAAGAACCAACUAUGGCCAUUUGGCAGGAUUUAAAUAGAAGUGUUUUACCUUGAUAAAGCUGUCAAUAUUUACAGGUAAACCUGUAACAAAACGCCUCUUUGCUAAUAGAUCUACUAUAAGCUAAACAACUGACAGCUAACCUAGUAGUUUGUAAGUGUGUAGUACACACUUACAAACUGUACCAAUGAGGUCUUUAAUGGAAAUAGGUUAACUGAUUUGAAUAGAAGCGGCAGCAUCAGCAGAAAUAAAAGUGUUAGAAAUAAAAGAAUAAACUAUUAUACA